rnacentral:rRNA from 1 species
UACGACUACAUAUCAGGCAUAUCAAUAAGCGGAGGAAAAGAAACUAACUAGGAUUCCCUCAGUAACGGCGAGUGAAGCGGGAAGAGCUCAAAUUUGAAAUCUUCAAGGUUUUACCUUGACGAAUUGUAGUUUAAAGAAGUGUUUUCUGUUGGAGUUUUGGUAAAAGUUCUUUGGAAUAGGACAUCAUAGAGGGUGAGAAUCCCGUAUUUGACCAUUAUUUCCAGCUUUGUGAUACACUUUCAAAGAGUCGGAUUGUCUGGGAAUGCAGUCCAAAAUGGGUGGUAAAUUUCAUCUAAAGCUAAAUAUUGGCGAGAGACCGAUCGCGAACAAGUACCGUGAGGGAAAGAUGAAAAGAACUUUGAAAAGAGAGUUAAACAGUACGUGAAAUUGUCAAAAGGGAAGCGUUUGACACCAGUGUUGUUUUCUCGAAAAUCAAUUAAAAAAGACUGGAUUUUGUGUUGUAUUGACUUUAUCAGCUUUCUGCACUCUUUUCUUGUCUUUUUUAAUGCACUUUUCGUUUAACAAGUCAACAUCAAUUUCUUUUGUUGUAAAAGGGUCAUUGGAAGGUGGCUUUCUUUUCGGAGAAAGUGUUUAUAGCCUCUGGCCUCUGCAAUCGGAGAGAUUGAGGUCUGCAGCGUAGAUCCUUCGGGGUUAGAUACAUUUGUGCUAAGUUAUAGCCUUUCAUAGACAACUUGCUGACUAUGAUCAGUCAUGUAGCUUACUCGCUUAUGCUAUUUUACCUACGCUUAGGAUGUUGACACACGCGCGUGCUCG